rnacentral:sRNA from 1 species
UUAUUGGCUGCUAAACUCACUCCAGUGGUGGGCAGCUGGGCAAAAGGCCCUGAAAAUUUCUCUUUUCUCAAAAUUCAGCCUUAAGUAAAUUUACCCUAUGACCUGCCAUGGGGGAUUAGGAUGGGCUGGCCAGGCCAGGCUAGGUGGCCUGAUUUUCCCAUUCAGCUUCUGACCUGGUCUUCUGAAAGUCAGACUCUGGCCCUCUUCAUUAGCCAGCCCAAGUCCUUGCCCCUGGGAAUGCAGGGUGGCUGGCUGUGUAGGUGUUGAUCUCAUUAGCGAUAAUUAGAGGGCAGAGCUCAGGGAACAAGUUAUGAAACCUGCAAACUAGGAUCUGGCACAUCUCCCAGCCGUAGUAGAGUUUAUAAACUCAAUUGUCAGCCACCUUGUAAGAUCGAAGAGUAUCGGCCUAUGUGACCUGUGGCCAGAAGAGGGAGCUCUUUGCCUAUCCUUAGCAGGGGCAGUGGCCUGAUUCACACUAAUGGGACUGGUGCAUCUGCAAAACUUCCCCAAGUGGUGAAAAUGCCACAGUAACGUACGACCUGCAAUUUGGGGUUCCAUCAGAUGAU